CCCUUAGAUGUUCUGGGCCGCACGCGCGCUACACUGACGAAUGCAACGAGCUUAUAACCUUGGUCGAAAGGUCUGGGUAAUCUCCAAAUUUCGUCGUGAUGGGGAUAGAUUAUUGCAAUUAUUAAUCUUCAACGAGGAAUGCCUAGUAAGCGCAAGUCAUCAGCUUGCGUUGAUUACGUCCCUGCCCUUUGUACACACCGCCCGUCGCUCCUACCGAUUGAAUGGUCCGGUGAAGCGUUCGGACCGUGGCCUUUGGACGGUUCGCCGUCUGUUGGCUGCGGGAAGUUCGUUAAACCUUNUNAUUUAGNGGAAGGAGAANUCGUANCA
rnacentral:rRNA from 1 species